GAAGAGAAACAGAUGUUCUUGUUCCCAAGAGGGUCUCGUGUGCAACUCAGAGGAGCGGGCCUAGGGCUCAGACUCCCCCAUGACGGGCGAGUUCCCAGCAUGGAGGCCUUGGAACCUGAAGCUGUCACAUUGGCAAGAAUCUGCUUGGGAGGCAUGAGGACAUUGGGCUCGUGGUGGGCCAGCAGCUUGGCUGCUCUGGUGCUGGAGAGGCCCUGAGAAGGCCAAGCAAAACACACGCACAAAGAGAAAUAAAAAAUGGGUGGGGAUAAUGUUUCAAAUCAAGGAAGGAACCUCAUUUUAUUCUGAACAUACUAGUUUUGACUGUUUUCACCCUGAAAUUUUCACUACUAAAUAUAUUUGAAAGCAAGUCUUUUUUCCUUAACAUUUGUUUCAUACACAGCACGUGUUCCUGUGUUCAUUUGAAUAUUCUGUGAUGACCUGUCACGGAGGUCAUGUGAUGAUGUAUAUCCUGCCCUCCAUCCCAACUGCCACUGGGUUUCAACUGCCACCUAAACACUGAACUUAGUGGUCCCCAGCCUUUUUGACACUAGGGACUGUUUUCAUGGAAGAUAAUUUUUCA
rnacentral:lncRNA from 1 species